UCGAGUCAGAAGAAUUGGAGAUUGCAAAAAUCAGUGAUAUUAAGCAUUUUGCACCAAAGACUUACAGAGAUUUUGAUGUCUACACACCGUAUAUUAUACAAAAAGGCAGAAAAAUUGAUGAAGUAGAAAUUGUUGCUGUUGGAGAUUAUAAAAUGAUGAAUGUUAUUAUGAAUGUGACUGCUGGUUCUAAACUAACUCAUGCUGUGGUACAAUGGAUGUAUAACCAAACGUUUCAAGUUAUUAAAAUCUAUGAUAUUGAAGAAUUUAAAUCUUUUGUGCCCUUAUAUCCUACGAGAUUUGAUUCUUCAAAAUCGUAUUGUGUGAAAUGUAGCAACAAUAAUUCUAGCAAUAAUAAUUCUUUUGAGGAAGUGUACAUACAGGCGUUUGGUGAUGAAGGCGAGAUGGAGAGUCUGUAUAGAUCAUUAUUAGAGUCUCCCACACAUGCCGUAAUAAGAUACAUCGAUACUGGGAGCAUUGUUAUUUUAUCGUUGAAUGAUGUUGUAAAUAAACUAUGGCUCUUUAAUCACUCACUGGAUUUUGACCAAUACGCUAUUUACGAAUCUUACGAUUCUGAGGGACUGUUAAAGAGAUAUACAAAUUUUUGCAGUAGGACUGUUAGAUAAUUGCAACCGUCUGCUGCAAUAGUUUAUGAAUAUGACUCAUGCUCUUGUCAGGGAUAUUCGACAUGAGAAACAAUUGAUUGUGCAAGUCGAUCAGAUUAGUGAAUUCUUAGAAUCUCCUCCAGAAAAAGAGGAAGACUUUGAACCAAAGAUACCAUACACAUUAAUUGAUCAACGUAACCAUAAACGAACCGCCAUUGAAAUUUAUGCAAUUGGUUAUAAGAAAACACUGAUUUUUGAAUGUCUACAUAAAUCCAAACGUUUUAAUAAAACUAAAUUUAAUAAUAGCGAUUUGAAAACGAAAGAAUCAACUUUACAAAACAGUAACAGUUCUCUGCAUGGUGUUAAGACCAUCAAUAAAAAGGAGCGUUGACAAUGAUGACACAAAAUUCUGAAAUAGUUAAUAACGAUUCUGGCUAUAAUGGUGGGAGUGACAUUGGCGAAUCUGACAAUGAAGGUGAUAAUGAACUGUAUGAAGACACGGAAGCAUUAAGAGCUCGAAUCUAAAAUGCGCAAAAAAGUAAUCAGAAUAAAGAUAUACCGGUGUCGCCCAAACGUGCUCCUACAGUUUCUUGCUCGACUAUUAGAAAAAAUUUAUUUGAUAUUGACGAACGAGAACCAAGUCAUACUCACAAGCACAAAAUGAACAACAGCCUAAUGGUAGGACGAAAAUUUUCACAUCAGUCUGCCAAUGGACAAAACCAAGGAACCAGGACGCAAUCGCGAAAGAAUCGCUUCUCCUUGAAACGUAAAUAUCCCGUGAAUCGAGACAGACAUCGAGUUCAGCGACCAGAUGAAGAGGAAUUUUACAGUAAUUAUUUAUCUGAUUCUGACAUAGGAGAAACAGAAUUAAAAGUAUUUGAAGAGUGGUCAGAUUGUGACGAGGACGACAAUGUAACUAAAAUGAUCCACACUGGGUGGAAUCAUUCAAUUGCCCGAAAGUCUUGGAGGAAUAUUAAAAAAUCGAAAAAUCCAAGUCUCUUUGCAAAAAAUUUAUCUCGAGCUCUUUGGGGAGAGGAAAUUAUAGAUAGGGCUACUGAAGUGAAGGAUAAUUUCAUGAAAUCUGUCACCGGUAGAAAAAGAACGCCAAUGACUCCCACGAAAAUGAAAUCUAUUUAUCAAUGUUUAAAAUAUUGGAUUUUAAUUUUCCAUGAAUAUUGGUUGUACGAGCGAGAUUUGAAGGGCAUACUGCAUAGCUUAGACCAUUACAUGGCGGAAGAAAUUCAGUAUCAACUUCGCCAAUACGAGGAGCGGAAUCAACUAAACAGAAAAGAAAAAAAAAGAGAAAGACUUGGAAGGAUGUUUAAUUGAUUUUUGUAUGUUUAAUAAGAAUUCAAAAACAUCCAGUCUUCUAUUUUACAGACAACAUGGUAAAGUUUAAUUUUUUAAGUUUUCGUCAGUUAAGAAACAUUAUUUAUUUAUUUAUUUAUUUAUUUAUUUCAUAAACAAA